rnacentral:rRNA from 1 species
CAGCCGCCGCGGUAAGACAGAGGAUGCAAGCGUUAUCCGGAAUGAUUGGGCGUAAAGAGCUCGUAGGCGGUUUGUCGCGUCUGCUGUGAAAACCCGAGGCUCAACCUCGGGCCUGCAGUGGGUACGGGCAGACUAGAGUGCGGUAGGGGAGAUUGGAAUUCCUGGUGUAGCGGUGGAAUGCGCAGAUAUCAGGAGGAACACCGAUGGCGAAGGCAGAUCUCUGGGCCGUAACUGACGCUGAGGAGCGAAAGCAUGGGGAGCGAACAGGAUUAGAUACCCCCGUAGUCCCUGUCUCUUAUAA